GGAACAAGACCGAUCUAGACGGACAGAGAGAGGUUCCAUUAGGAUUGGCUGAGAAAUUAGCCAAGGACUUUCAGUUAAUUUUCUAUGAGUGCAGUGCUUUUUCAAGCAACAGUGUGACAGAGUCCAUGAUUCACAUGGCAAGAGUUCUGAAAGACCAAGAGGACAGAGAAAAAGAGAAAACCGUGUCACUAGUAGACAGCCACGCUAAGAAGAAGUCCUGCUGCUAGUAGAAAGUCACCCAUAAACACUGCAGAUCUUUCAAACCUUUUUGCUUCUGCAUUUUAGUAUGGUUUGGUGUUAAUGCUGAUCUGUUUUUCUUCCUCUUAUGUUCCCGUUUUCUCUUUUUGUAUGGCCACUGUGGAGUUCAAAUCGUUUGGUCUUUUUAUAUACCAGUACCUCUUUACAGUGUGAAACGGACCAUUUUUACAAUAUCAAUUAGAUGUAGGGCUUUAAGUAGAGCACUAUAGUUUUGUAUAUUACUACAGUUGUCAAACGUUUCCCUAUCAAGGUCAUUUAAAUCACCCAUCACACUAUUGAAGAAAACAAACCUGUAUUUUUGUAUUGACAGUUGUUGUAAUUUAUCUUUUUAAUAUGAAGGUCUAAGAAAGUAUAUUUUAAAUGAGCAAAAUAAGCUCCUACACGCUAGUUUGUUUACAGCACAAUCAUUUGCACAAAUGUAUUAUUUAUUACUAAUGAUGAAUUGACUUAUUCCUUUAUUAUUCCUAGCAAGCAGACAUAUUGUGAAAAAUCUAUUUUCUGUAAUCAGCAUGAAUAUUUUUAAUACACUGCCAUGCAGCCAACAUAUGGUUUGCAUAAGGAUUCGGUUUUAACAGGGUUCGGUGUUGUUCGCUUUACAGUACUGAAUAAACCACUGAUCUAUUGAAAUGGAUUUAGUCUAAUAUUGAUUUCAGAUCACUUUUUGAUUUGCAUUUUAUGUAUUGUGGCAACAGUAAUGUGUGUGUCUAUAUAUAGUCUGUAUUUGCUAUUUAAUGCAGUCAGUGUUAAAUCAGUUCAAAUGUCUCACUGCACUUGUUGAUGUUCACACUUACCAUAAAUAAUUAGAGAUGCAGUAAUAGUCCACUAGAGAGUGGAUUUAUGCACUUUUGAGAUAAGGCCUAUGCUGUGUUUUCAGUUUCAAGUUUUUCAGUAAUCGCAAUAUGAUUCUUGAUCUGUAACUUGAGUUUUCAUAUUGAUUCACACAUAAUUUAUCUAUCACAGCUACUGUAUGACCACUGGGCAGAAUAACACUAGAUUUAAGCAUAAUUUCUCACUCAUUUAGUCUUAUAUAUGUUCCUGCUUUAUGUACAUGUGUAAUGUGUAAAUACUAAAUAGAAAUGUAUUUUGAGUGAAAUGUUAAAAAUAA